GUCCAGGAAUGGGAAUCGAACCCACAAUGUGUUGCUUACCGGGCAGAUGCCAUGUCCACUAGGCUACCCUGGA